rnacentral:rRNA from 1 species
GAUGAACGCUGACAGAAUGCUUAACACAUGCAAGUCCACUUGAACCUCGGUUUGGGUGGCGGACGGGUGAGUAACGCGUAAAGAACUUGCCUCACAGCUAGGGACAACAUUUGGAAACGAAUGCUAAUACCUGAUAUUAUGAUUAUAUGGCAUCGUAUAAUUAUGAAAGCUAUAUGCGCUGUGAGAGAGCUUUGCGUCCCAUUAGCUAGUUGGAGAGGUAACAGCUCACCAAGGCGAUGAUGGGUAGCCGGCCUGAGAGGGUGAUCGGCCACAAGGGGACUGAGACACGGCCCUUACUCCUACGGGAGGCAGCAGUGGGGAAUAUUGGACAAUGGACCGAGAGUCUGAUCCAGCAAUUCUGUGUGCACGAUGAAGUUUUUCGGAAUGUAAAGUGCUUUCAGUUGGGAAGAAAAAAAUGACGGUACCAACAGAAGAAGUGACGGCUAAAUACGUG